rnacentral:rRNA from 1 species
UACGGGGGGGGCAAGCGUUGUUCGGAAUUACUGGGCGUAAAGGGUUUGUAGGUGGCUUGCUAAGUCAGACGUGAAAUCCCUCAGCUUAACUGGGGAACUGCGUCUGAGACUGGCAAGCUCGAGUGCAGGAGAGGAACGCGGAAUUCCAGGUGUAGCGGUGAAAUGCGUAGAUAUCUGGAGGAACACCGGUGGCGAAGGCGGCAUCCUGGACCGACACUGACGCUGAUGAGCGAAAGCCAGGGGAGCAAACGGG